rnacentral:rRNA from 1 species
CCCUUAGAUGUCCUGGGCCGCACGCGUGCUACACUGACACUUGCAACGAGUACUUUGCUUUACCGAAAGGCAAUGCUAAUCAUCAAUAAGUGUCGUGAUGGGGAUAGAUCUUUGGAAUUAUGGAUCUUGAACGAGGAAUGCCUAGUAAGCGUAGGUCAUUAGCCUACGCUGAUUAAGUCCCUGCCCUUUGUACACACCGCCCGUCGCUCCUACCGAUUUCGAGUGGUCCGGUGAAACUUUUGGACCGUGCGACUUUAUUGUUGUCACGGAAAGUCAGUUAAACCAUACUACUUAGAGGAAGGAGAANUCGUANCA